rnacentral:misc_RNA from 1 species
AAACUGCGAUAAGUAGUGUGAAUUGCAUUUAGUGAAUCAUCGAAUCUUUGAACGCACCCUGCACUCACUGGUAUUCCGGUGAGUACGCCUGUUUCAGUAUCAUUGAAAACACACAAUCAAAACAUUUUCUUUGGUUUGAUUGGCUUUGGGUCUAUCAAAAAGUUUGGCUUGUUUCUUACAAGCCAAGCGGCCUGAAAUAUAUUGUCUGGCUAAUUGCAUCGUUGAUGAUCGCUAUUAGACUUUGGCUUUUUUAAAUGAACUGGAGGUUGAUUAACCAGUUUUAGCUUUAGUCAAAUGGUCAUUGUAAAAAAAAUCUCGAUCUUGGCUAGGUGUUUAUAGCCGAAAAUUUUUUUUUGGCUAUAACCGAAACAAAUAUAAUCACAUUUAGUUAUCGAUCUGAAAUCAGGUGGGACUACCCGCUGAACUUAAGC